GUUUACAUGGACAUAUUCUAUUCCGAUUGAGCUAUUACUCGGAUUAUUAACGGAUUAUCAGGCUGCAUGUAAACGUGGCUACUUAAACGGAGCAGGUGGAAACGACGACUGUGUAUUCGGCUAAGUGGAUUUCAGUUGAAUUCCUUCUUUGGGAUUAUGAGGCUCCGCCCUGCUACUCUCAGCAAAACCCGGUCCUUUGUCACCAGUGAACUGAUCUCAUGGACGCCUGGAAUAAACUACACGUUCUCUGGUUUAUCCACUCACGGAGAAGGUGUGGGAUGACCCAGAUCUUAAGGGGAAGACAGAAGGAUGGUGAGAGAAAGCUGGUGUUAUGGAAGAGUUCUGUGAGGCUUUGCAGCCCCAGACUCAGAUCAUCUUGAAUAGACUGGUUCCAAGAGCAUAGAAUAGCAGGCAUAUGUUGAUUUUGGGUCAGUGAGGUUAUUCUUCAACUGCCUAGUUCUUUAAUCUAAUAUUUUUCUGGCGAGUGUAAAUAUUUUGUAUGUGAAGCUUUAAUAAAUUGAGAGCACUUUGGGGACUAGAAGCCAUGAUGUCAUAGUGAUGCUUCAGGGACCUGUGAUCCACUCCACCAUGGUUAUGGUGUUAUCAUUACAGUAUUCCUUUUUGUCUUUCUUUUUUUCUUCUGUUGAUGCUUCACAAAGAAAUUUUGUUUGAUAUGUGAAUGUUGAGCUUGUGUCCCACUGUUAUUCUGCUCUUGUAUAAAUGGUUUCACAAUACACAAAGUGAAAGGUGGGUUCAGGUGGAAAAAAAGAAAGUAUGCAAAGGAGUAAAAGGAAUUUUAAAAAGCCAAAUCAUUUAGCGUGACGUCACUGUGUACAUCAUACAUAUGCUGUCUAGCAUCUCAAAACUUAAAACACCUUCCCUU